AGGACGAACGCUGGCGGCGUGCUUAACACAUGCAAGUCGAGCGAGGCCCGUCCUUCGGGACGGUGCCCUAGCGGCGAACGGGUGAGUAACACGUGGGCAACCUGCCCCUAGCACUGGGAUAACUCCGGGAAACCGGGGCUAAUACCGGAUAUGACCUUUGAGGGCAUCCUCUUUGGUGUAAAGGAUUCUGGCUAGGGAUGGGCCCGCGGCCUAUCAGCUUGUUGGUGGGGUAAUGGCCUACCAAGGCGACGACGGGUAGCCGGCCUGAGAGGGCGACCGGCCACACUGGGACUGAGACACGGCCCAGACUCCUACGGGAGGCAGCAGUGGGGAAUAUUGCACAAUGGGCGAAAGCCUGAUGCAGCGACGCCGCGUGAGGGAUGACGGCCUUCGGUUGUAAACCUCUUUCAGCAGGGACGAAGCGAAAGUGACGGUACCUGCAGAAGAAGCACCGGCAACUACGUGCCAGCAGCCGC
rnacentral:rRNA from 1 species